UACGAAGGGGGCUAGCGUUGCUCGGAAUCACUGGGCGUAAAGGGCGCGUAGGCGGCCUUCUAAGUCAGACGUGAAAUCCCCCGGCUUAACCUGGGAACUGCGUCUGAUACUGGAGGGCUUGAGUGCGGGAGAGGGAUGUGGAAUUCCAGGUGUAGCGGUGAAAUGCGUAGAUAUCUGGAGGAACACCGGUGGCGAAGGCGGCAUCCUGGACCGACACUGACGCUGAGGCGCGAAAGCUAGGGUAGCAAACGGGG
rnacentral:rRNA from 1 species